rnacentral:rRNA from 1 species
AAUGAACGCUGGCGGCGUGCCUAAUACAUGCAAGUCGAGCGCGAGAGUGAGGAGCUUGCUCCUCAUGCUCGAGCGGCGGACGGGUGAGUAACACGUAGGCAACCUACCCUUGCGAUUGGGAUCACUAUCGGAAACGGUAGCUAAUACCGGCUACGCCUUUUCCACAUGAUUGGAAUGGAUAAAAGGCAGAUUUAUCUGCCGCUCUUGCAUGGGCCGGGGUGCAUUAGCUAGUUGGUGAGGUAGUGGCUCACCAAGGCGACGAUGCAUAGCCGACCGGAGAGGGUGAUCGGCCAGACUGGGACUGAGACACGGCCCAGACUCCUACGGGAGGCAGCAGUAGGGAAUCUUCAGCAAUGGACGCAAGUCUGACGGAGCAACGCCGCGUGAGUGAUGAAGGGUUUCGGCUCGUAAAACUCUGUUGUUAAGGAAGAACACAUGAGGUAGUAACUGGCCUUGAGAUGACGGUACUUAACCAGAAAGCCACGGCUAACUACGUGCCAGCAGCCGCCGUAA